UCCACAUAUUUCAUUUGAGCGAGGGUUUAUCGAGGGAUCAACUAUGGAUUUCGCAAGUGUUUAUUGGCGUACCUGAAUCCCUCGCUAAUCGGUAGAAAAUGAAGGCAUUUCAGGGAGGGUUCAGCGACAGAUGGAGAAAUUGUCGAUUUUUGCCAUCUGGUAUGCAUUUAGCGAGAGAACGCCGACAGAAAUUAUUUUUGGGGUACGCGCGUUUUUGUUUUUCAAUCACCGAUCUCUCGCUGAAAUUGGCGCAACCUAAUUCUAGUUUCACAAAAUUGCUAUAAGUUUCCUUCCCUCCCAAAUCCGAUUUAUCACUUUGGAGUUAGUUCCUUAUUCCAUGUUAACCUAAUAUCACCAUCUCCUUUCAAACAGAUGACAACACAACUCAUCGUUGAUGCUUCUGAUUCCGACAACCUCCAUAAAAUCUAAAAGCGAACCACAUGUUGCCCAAAGCUCAUGCAACAAUUGAAAUUAUCAGCGACUCCCACCAUAAACAUCAAAUAGGGUUGGAAUGACAUCUCGGAUUGUCGAGGCAGUAUGAGAACUAUCUUCACACCACCCCUGCUAUUCUUUUAACCCUAAACGCCACUCCUAUAGAUUCACCACCACCAGCUCUUCUCCCUCAUCUUUCCUUAUUGCAUAAAAUUGUUUUUCCUAUGAAUUAACUGUAAGGCUGCUGCAAUAUGUGGUAGUUCUAGAUUCUUUUUUAUUUGUUAUAGAAAAUCCUGUAGCCACCUGACUACUACUGAAGACCGAAUAUUAUUACACAUACUUAUAGACAGGAGAAAACAACUUUCCUGCUCUUAAAGUCACAGUAACACACCUGUGCCAAUUUUUCAUCAAAAUAUCUUGUCUUCAAUGAAACUUAAAGUUCAACUUUUCCCUGUUGAUGAAACUACACGUAGAGCCUUGGGAAUGGACAAUCACAACUCGCAUCUGGAGCUGACUUUAAGUACACAUAAAGAAAAUAUCAUCGGUUUUGGAACAUAUGACAUGUAAAUGGUCUAGCUCUACUGUAGCAGCAUCUGGAGAAUUAAAACUUGUGCCUUAUGAUGCUUAAACAUCAAAUCUUUCCAAUUCUCAGAAAUGGAAUCAUGAUUCCGUCUUAAUUGGGAGCCCUCCGAUUUUCCGUUUAAGGUUUCUCUCUCUUUAAUUUUUCAUUUCUUUUUAACAACAAUUUUUACAACAUUCUAAGAAAAAUCAUUGAUCAUGGUUUUUGUGUUUUUUAAGGUAUGGUUGGUUUGGUAAGGGUGAAGAACAUAACAACACUAACAAUGGUAUUGGUAUUGGUGGAAGUGUGGGAAUGGGAUUGCCCACCACCUUUUUUCUUAUUCUUCCUAAACCUUUUGUAUGCUUUGUUGGGUGUCGGUCUAUUUGAAACUUCUUGCUUUUUUAUUAAAAUACAAAGAUAUAAAUGCCUUCCUCCUCCUCUUCAUCAUCAGAAAUAUCCAUAUAAAGCUUGUUUGGUCCUACUAACUAAUGCUUUUUUUUUCUUGAUUCACGUUGCAGGAUCACCAUAAGCUCAUACACACAUGGCCUGUGCACAAAAGAGAAACCUGGCUAAAGAAAAACAGCAUAAGGAUCAUGUGUAAAGCAUAUUAUUUUGGUUUAUUUAACUGAACAGGAGAUAAUCUGAAUCUGGGGUAGUCAAAAAAAUUAAAGAAGGCAACCUGCAUUUACCUUUGUAGUUAUUUAGAAGAGUUCCUGAUAGCCUGUUACCUUGUUUUUUUCCCGUAAUGGUAGAGUGCUGACAAACCAUUUAAACUCUUUUUUACCAGUGAAGCAAAAUUUUCAGUGAUACAUGAUUCUAAGUGAAUCCAAGGUGUAUCUUGAGGUCCUUUCUCAAAAGCAUUCUAUCACAAACUCAAUCAUGAUCAUGUUUUUGACUAUUUCAACAAUUGGUUGCUUGCAAGGUAUGUAUUUUUCACAUGUGAAACAAAUUGAAAGAGACACUAAGACGAUUAACCGUUAUGCUCCCUUUUAUUUGUGUUUGAUUAACAACGGAUAAUCUUUUCUUCACAAUUGUACAUAAUCAUGGAAACUUGUUUAUUAUCUGUGAUCAUUCUUGUCCUUAAAUGAAACUUGCAAACAAUUGAUACACUAGAAGUUUGCCCUCAGAUCCAUCUCAACUGUUAUGGAAUGAAAGAUUAGUGUUUAAU